rnacentral:rRNA from 1 species
AGAGAUUGAACAUAAGAGUUUGAUCCUGGCUCAGAUUGAACGCUGGCGGCAUGCUUUACACAUGCAAGUCGGACGGCAGCACAGAGAAGCUUGCUUCUUGGGUGGCGAGUGGCGAACGGGUGAGUAACAUAUCGGAACGUACCGAGUAGUGGGGGAUAACUGAUCGAAAGAUCAGCUAAUACCGCAUACGUCUUGAGAGGGAAAGCAGGGGACCUUCGGGCCUUGCGCUAUUCGAGCGGCCGAUAUCUGAUUAGCUGGUUGGUGGGGUAAAGGCUCACCAAGGCGACGAUCAGUAGCGGGUCUGAGAGGAUGAUCCGCCACACUGGGACUGAGACACGGCCCAGACUCCUACGGGAGGCAGCAGUGGGGAAUUUUGGACAAUGGGCGCAAGCCUGAUCCAGCCAUGCCGCGUGUCUGAAGAAGGCCUUCGGGUUGUAAAGGACUUUUGUCAGGGAAGAAAAGGCUGUUGCUAAUAUCAGCGGCUGAUGACGGUACCUGAAGAAUAAGCACCGGCUAACUACGUGCCAGCAGCCGCGGUAAUACGUAGGGUGCGAGCGUUAAUCGGAAUUACUGGGCGUAAAGCGGGCGCAGACGGUUACUUAAGCAGGAUGUGAAAUCCCCGGGCUCAACCCGGGAACUGCGUUCUGAACUGGGUGACUCGAGUGUGUCAGAGGGAGGUAGAAUUCCACGUGUAGCAGUGAAAUGCGUAGAGAUGUGGAGGAAUACCGAUGGCGAAGGCAGCCUCCUGGGAUAACACUGACGUUCAUGCCCGAAAGCGUGGGUAGCAAACAGGAUUAGAUACCCUGGUAGUCCACGCCCUAAACGAUGUCAAUUAGCUGUUGGGCAACUUGAUUGCUUGGUAGCGUAGCUAACGCGUGAAAUUGACCGCCUGGGGAGUACGGUCGCAAGAUUAAAACUCAAAGGAAUUGACGGGGACCCGCACAAGCGGUGGAUGAUGUGGAUUAAUUCGAUGCAACGCGAAGAACCUUACCUGGUCUUGACAUGUACGGAAUCCUCCAGAGACGGAGGAGUGCCUUCGGGAGCCGUAACACAGGUGCUGCAUGGCUGUCGUCAGCUCGUGUCGUGAGAUGUUGGGUUAAGUCCCGCAACGAGCGCAACCCUUGUCAUUAGUUGCCAUCAUUCAGUUGGGCACUCUAAUGAGACUGCCGGUGACAAGCCGGAGGAAGGUGGGGAUGACGUCAAGUCCUCAUGGCCCUUAUGACCAGGGCUUCACACGUCAUACAAUGGUCGGUACAGAGGGUAGCCAAGCCGCGAGGUGGAGCCAAUCUCACAAAACCGAUCGUAGUCCGGAUUGCACUCUGCAACUCGAGUGCAUGAAGUCGGAAUCGCUAGUAAUCGCAGGUCAGCAUACUGCGGUGAAUACGUUCCCGGGUCUUGUACACACCGCCCGUCACACCAUGGGAGUGGGGGAUACCAGAAGUAGGUAGGGUAACCGCAAGGAGUCCGCUUACCACGGUAUGCUUCAUGACUGGGGUGAAGUCGUAACAAGGUAGCCGUAGGGGAACCUGCGGCUGGAUCACCUCCUUUCUA